UAAUACAAUUCAAUUCAUUUUUUUUUUUUGAAGAUUCCCAACCUAUCUCUCACUCUUCUCUCUUCAAACCCUAACCCUAUAUCCUUUGAUCGGCGGCAAUUCUAUGGGCAGCAGUGAAAGGCGAGCAAAAGCGGCAGUGAGCGACUGAGGUAUUCACCCAAAAAAAAAAUAGAAUAAUUGAGGUAUUGAUAUUGAUUUUGAAGUCAAAGCAGGUGAGAUUUUUCAAAGAUCUGAUUCUGUGAAGUCUAAAAUUUGUCUUUCUCAUGAACACGGGCACGUGGUUGAUUUGAUUCAUUUGGCGUCGCAUUUUCAAUGAGUGGAGCAGCAGAGGUAUUCUAUGCAAGUGAAACAGGAAAAUGGGAUAUUGGGGUAUGUAUCUCAUUGGUUUCCAAUUGGGCAGCUAUCUGUUUUUUGGUAACUCUGAGCAAGUGUUGAGAUCCAAUAAAUGAGCAAUGAUUCUAUCUCUUUUGUUUUGGUAUAUAUCUUUAUCAUUGGAGUCUUUGUCAUCUCAUUAUCUUUUGUUGUCAUGUUAAUUGAUCUUUAUUUUUAUUUUUUCUGAAUGAGACAUGUUAUUAACUAUGCUUCUGGACAGGGAUGUGGAAAGAGUUUCACGCAGAAUGUGCAAUGCAAUGCAGCUUAUGUUACUUUUGUAUUAGCUCAAAAUCUCCAGGUCUUAGCAAUCCUAAUGCCGUCUGAUUACAUCCCAGGACAUAAGAUUACUGUACUGGAACAAGCAUUCAACCGAAAUCUACUGGGAUCAUUUCUUCGGAUUGGCAAUGGUGGAAAAUAGUUCGGGCUGGAUCAGAAGAUUUGAUUGUGUUUUUGGAAAUAUUUUGACAUAGGAUUUUGGUAAAUGAUUUAUAAAUUAAAUGUUUAGCAUCAAAAUAUUUGGUGUUGUGUUUUUGCAAAUAUUUUGACAUAGGAUUUUGAUAAAUGACUUGUUGGUUAGAUAGUUAGCAUCAAAAUAUUUGGUUGUGUUUUUGAAAAUAUUUUGGCAUAGGAUUUGGUAAUGUAUUUAUGGGUUUGAUGUUAAUAGUUUGUAAAUACUUUGGUAUGCAUGUUUUAGAUUGUCAGAGAAUUGUAAUUAUGUUUAUUAGGACUUUUCAUAGCUAUUAAUUUUGAAU